UCGCAGAGCUCCGCAGCACACUUUAAAAAUAUUCGUAUGAACACCCUGCAACUGGAUCUGUAACCGUUGAAAAAGAAAACACCUAUAUCUGAACAUCACAAUCUGGUCAUCGUACGAUUUCUCUUAAAUGACGAUAGAUAAAUGGCUGAUUUUUUUUUUAUUGACACCGGAGGCUCCUUGACUUUGACGUGAAGUGAAAAAAUCAUUUCUCUAUUUUCAUUUUGGACCUUUAAUCCCAGAAAUAUGGCCAUAACUCAAAAACCGUUGAGGCCUAGACGCCAUCUUGUUCGGGGCCAUCUGCCCAUUAUGCCAAACCUACGCUCACCUACGCUCAAGUUUCGGCUUCGAAAUAUUUUCAGUUUUCGAGAUAUGGCACGUCGUGAUUCGGGAUGUUUUGUCCAAUAGCAAUAUGAUUGCUUAUGCCCUCUUGUGGGAUCUUCCGGCAUAGCGGAAAAAUGGACCAAAAUUUGAUUAUUUUAUAAAACGAAAACCGAAUGUCCGACAAAGUUCAUUUGAUGACUUCCCGGUAGGUCUGGCCCUGCCGCUCGGCCCGACGCCGUCCCCGAAUUUUAAAAAUGUUUUCGGACGUCUAGUAAGGGACCGUACAGUUCCAAUAGGGACUUUCUCACUAACCAUACGGUGAUUGUCAAAAAGUUCCCUUAAGGUAUGUAUGACAAAUUCCGGAGGACAUCCUCCAACCUAUCAGAGUUCUUGCAGUAUGAACUGACAUGUUGUCCAGAGAAUGAAUGUAGUACUGAAAGCAUAAGCUACAGCUAGCUAGCAGUGCAUAAAAUGUUGUAGUUGACUCAAAGAGCGAGGAAAAGACAAUUGUUGUACAGUUAACAAAUUAAUUAAUUAACAAGUGAAGGAGAAUUGAGAAAUAAAGGGAUAUUCAGAUUUUUUUUAUUUUUACUUUCACUUCGCUAGAGAAUUCAGCUAGCUAGUUUAGCCUACUCAAACACCCGGCUCAAACUCAAACAGAGAGGGAUGCAAUGUUAGCUAGCUGGCUAUGUCUAUCCAGCACUGAAACUCUUCCAAGUCAAGGUAAGCUUUUGGAUUUUAUAAUUUAUUGCCACCAGGUCCCACCGGUGUAACUGCUCAACCGCUUGCUUCUGACUGUACACUGUACUGCAUGAUUGUAGUGGGUUUACUAGCGCGUUAGAUCUAGUAGCUAUGUUUAUGACGUUAAUAUGGUGAUAACAAUGUAGGCUGUGUGUAGAGGUUAGCGGUUAUUAUAUUAAGGUUUGGCUUGGAAAGGUUUUUUCGCCUGGUCACAGACAGCUGAUGUGUUGUUACUGAAGACCACACGUUAAAGGAAAAGGUGAGAGGAGGAAAGCGUGUAGAUGCAAGAAGGAAUUAUACAAUGAUCAAAGAGAUCAUGCUGUUUGUAGGUGGCUCAUAUGAAAGUAAUAUGUUUGAUUUUGAUCAGGGGUAGUAUUCAUUCUCUCGAUUCUGUUGAAAAAUGUUUCUUAAAUGGAAGCAAACAGAGAAACAUUUAUUUUAUUUUACCAGGUAAGUUGACUGAGAACAAAUUCUCAUUUACAGCAACGACCUGGGGAAUAGUUACAGAGGGGAUGAAUGAGCCAAUUGUAAACAUACCUGAAUUUGUCCAAUAAAAACUAUUUGCAACUGUUGGCCUAAUGAUUACACUCCAGAUCAGCUAGAUGCUGGCAAGAGUGUGUAAGGCGGUAUUGAAUGUGUCAAUAUCUGUCACCUUGAUUACUAAAAUUUCUCAACCUGUGUACCUAUGUUGUAAACGUUAAUUCAUAUGCUAGGUUGUAACAACCUCAUGGUGGGUAUAGGAAACAUUUGAGUAUCAUGCAGUAGCCUAAACCUAUCGAUGUUACGUCGAGCUGGGUUAAUGGAAUACAAAUAACAGUCGUUCAAUAUGCUGUAAAAUAAAUAUUGUAAGGCCAUGCUCACAAAAAAUAAUCGUCAUCCCUCAUCUUAAACGGCAGCAACCGCUACUGGUAUGUGUGGUAAUUCAGGCUCAUCGCUCUGGCCGUAGCUUGUGUUGUCUGUGUGUGUUUGUGUUUCACGUGUGUAUUGUCUAACCUGGUUUGUCUCUCCUCCAGUCUGUGUGGUGGAGCAGUUAUCGAGUGCAGACUUCUUCUCUGAGUCCAUCCCUAAAAGCUGUCUGUUCAGUACGAUCCACGACGCGGUGCUACACAGCCUCCGACUGCAUGGGGCCUCAGACGUACCCAUCAUCUACGAGUAUGCUCUGGACUUGGCCUGCACUACCAAGAUGUAACAAACAGGGGUCACAUUGUACCUCUUCCACUCCACCUACCUCCUUCCAUCCCUCCGCUGCCUAGCUUCCCAUUGGUUCCCCUCACCUCUUCCCCCUCUGUGAAAGAGAAUGCACCACCACCGUGUGUGCUUUUUUAAUUUUUAGGUUGGACCAAGGCAGUUCCCCCGUCACGUUAUGUUUAAUAACUGAAGCCAAAAUACCUCCCCAAAAUAUUUGUCAGACACCUGAGAUGUGUAGUCUAGUCAGCAGUUCUCUUCGCCUCCCCCAUCAUCCUAUUUAAUCCAUUCCUCCUGGGGCCAGUGUAACCCAAACAGUAGUAUAUCCUGUACCAGUCAAAAGUUUGGAUACACCUACUCAUUCAAGCGUUUCUCUUAAUUUUUCCUAUUUUCUACAUUGUAGAAUAAUAGUGAAGACAUCAAAACCAUGAAAUAACAUAUAUGGAAUCAUGUAGUAACCAAAAAAGUUUUCAAAUCAAAAUGUAUUUUAUAUUUGAAUUUCUUCAAGUUAGCCACCCAUUGCCUUGAUGGCACACUCUUGGCAUUCUCUCAACUAGCUUGAUGAGGUAGCUUCACGUGGAAUGCAUUACAAUUAGCAGUUGUACUUUGUGUAAGUUUUUAUUCUUCAUACAUUUGAGCCAAUCAGUUGUGUUUUAAAAAAUAAAAUAAAACCCUUGAAUGUAUUUUUUGUAGGUUUCAAACUUUAGACUGGUACUGUAUAUAUAUAAAUAUAACACCCUUGCCUUUCAUGAACUAACACAUACACUUGCCCUUCCCAUUUUAGCACUGACUUUGCUGAUAGCUACUUUAUUGAGGAAAAAUGUACUUACUAUUACUGAGCUGUGUGGUUGUCCCACCUAGCUAUCUUAAGAUGAAUGCACUAACUGUAAGUUGCUCUGUAUAAGUGUCUGCUAAAUGACCUAAAUGUAAAUUAUAAUUGCUUUAAUAACAUUAGCUCUAGCUAACUCCUGUCUCUCUUAAGCUGGGGUUAUAUGGUUUAAUGCAAAGGUAAAAACAUACAAUGUGUAAUUUCUUACGCCUCACUGCUGAUGUAAUCAUAAUGAUGUUGAAAAGUACGUAAAUUACCCUAAGACAGACACAUGAUAGUUCAAUAUCCACUGAAUGAAUAGCAGCUUUUCACUCUGUUAUCCAAAAGUGUUUGUGUCAUAUCACUGGCAACUUUGCAAAUAUUUACUACAUGUUAGCUACUUUGCAACAACAUAGCAGCCUUCCACUAACCCCUAGCCUAGCUAACGUUAGUCUCAACAAAUUGGAAUUCAUAACAUAUCAUAAUAAAUGACAGGAGACAGACUUACAUUUUCUACCACUGAGUCCAGGUUUGCAUCACGUAGCCUUGAAUCUAUACAUCAUCAUGUAUUUCAGGGUCAAAUCAAUUUCAAAGGGUGUAUAGUUUUCACCUAGUUUGAACACUGUCAUAGAGCUAAUCUCUUUGUAUUUUUCUAAAGAGGAUGUGAAUAAUUCAUGUUAAUGUGAAUUUUGAACAUUUUACUAAAUUGUUAAUUUCCUGAUCUAAUUCAUCUACUUUGAAUAUGAUUUGUAAUUUUCUAGCAUUGAUCGAACACACAGUCCAAUAUCUUAAAGUAAAUAAUUAUUGUUCCUGAGCACAUGGCUAAAUAAACACCAGUAAUGUGA